rnacentral:rRNA from 1 species
ACGAACGCUGGCGGCGUGCUUAACACAUGCAAGUCGAACGGAAAGGCCCUGCUUUUGUGGGGUGCUCGAGUGGCGAACGGGUGAGUAACACGUGAGUAACCUGCCCUUGACUUUGGGAUAACUUCAGGAAACUGGGGCUAAUACCGGAUAGGAGCUCCUGCUGCAUGGUGGGGGUUGGAAAGUUUCGGCGGUUGGGGAUGGACUCGCGGCUUAUCAGCUUGUUGGUGGGGUGGUGGCUUACCAAGGCUUUGACGGGUAGCCGGCCUGAGAGGGUGACCGGCCACAUUGGGACUGAGAUACGGCCCAGACUCCUACGGGAGGCAGCAGUGGGGAAUAUUGCACAAUGGGCGGAAGCCUGAUGCAGCAACGCCGCGUGCGGGAUGACGGCCUUCGGGUUGUAAACCGCUUUCGCCUGUGACGAAGCGUGAGUGACGGUAAUGGGUAAAGAAGCACCGGCUAACUACGUG